GGUGUGCAGGGGAACCCCCACAAAUCCGUGGGUGACAGCCUGUGUCACCGUCCCUGGGGAGCGCUAGCUGCCUCCCACUACCGCCGGCUCUGCUGGAUGGACAGCGGGCUGGGGACUGGACACGCUUCCUUGGGGGGGUUGCUGACUGCUGUACCCUGCCCACUAUGUGCGGGAGCCAGACCAAACCCCUGCCAGAGGACUGGAAAUAGGCAGGUUGCAAGAUGCGGUUGAGAAAUCAAACUCCUGGGUUGCGGCAGGAGCCAUGUCCUUGGAAUUUGGAGUCUGACCGAGGAAAAUGACCUGGCAGCGCAGUUUACGCGGGGGGAUGCACAGGGGAUUUGGCAAUGCUUCUUGCUACACCAGGUCUCAAAGCCGCACGGUGUCCAGAAAGGUGACUUCUCACCAGAGUCCCGUGCCUGCGUGCACACAGAAGGCACUUCAGGUGUCCCUGUGUCUAGUAAGUGCAUUCCACGGAGGCUGAAACUAACACCCACAACCUAGAAGCUGUGGAGAGCACAAUGGUGCAGGACGGCGAGGUGGAGACAUCCUACGGGCAGAGCAUGGGUGCAGUGGUGACAGACCUCGGGCAGCACUCCUUCGGGAGUGCUGGAACACUCUCCUGCCACCAGCUUGGAGCUUCUCUGUGAGCACUGAAGUUCAUACAGAGCCUCUGCUAACGCUGCCUCAGCCUCCCUGCCACUGCUUUUGCAACCCUGAAUCAUCCCUCAGAGACCUCUGGUCUGGAAAGCCUUUCCUGUCCAGUAUGUUUUCCUUUUGCUUUCAGGCUCUCCUGGUGUUUGAUUAGUGUGUGGCAGCUGACCUCGCGUGGCAGGACUCAAAGGCAGAGCUGGGAUAAAACAACUGGCUGUCCCCCAGAUACCAGUGAUCCUCCCACUCCUGGAAUGUCCUAGAGAUGAUAGGACUCCCUCAGUUUUUCCCAUAUGCUAAGUCAGGCAUUGCUGCCUUCCAAACAAGAGGGACAGGGAAGGAACAGAAUGGAGUCUGGAACAAAUACUGCUUUGCAGAUCCUUUUUCUGUCCCUAAUGCUGCUCCUCUGCAAGUGGCCGGUGACACAAAGGGCUGUGUUGCUGAGACUGGGGGCUGAGGCUGUGGGGCUCAUGGGGUAUUUCUGUAGCCUCGCAGGCAGUCCUUAUGCUUGGUGAACCUGUGUUACCCAAGACUACGUUCCCAGUGGUACUACCAGUUCAGCAAAUCUUGAGGGAAUCCAGCUUGCAAAGAAUCGCGCUGGUGGCAAGUGCUGGGUGAGACCCUGGAAGGAGGAAUUGGAAAUGCAACCUUUUUCUGGAACGUGGACAAGCCCACAGUUCUGAGGAAUGCAGACACUGUGUUACUGUGCUAUUUGUAGGACAGAGGUUUCUGUAUAGUGCUCGGCACGUUGUGUCUAACGCGCACUGAGGGGAUGGCCGUUUUCUGGGUUAGAAUAACGAAGCACGUGGGGGUGCGAGGGAAAAGCAAGACUCCCAUCUUGCUCCAGUCACAUUCUCUAUACUCAGGUUGCUUCUGUAUUCGUCAUGAAUAAAAGCCAUUAACUACA